GACGAACGCUGGCGGCGUGCUUAACACAUGCAAGUCGAACGGAAAGGCCCUGCUUUUGUGGGGUGCUCGAGUGGCGAACGGGUGAGUAACAUGUGAGUAACCUGCCCUUGACUUUGGGAUAACUUCAGGAAACUGGGGCUAAUACCGGAUAGGAGCUCCUGCUGCAUGGUGGUGGUUGGAAAGUUUCGGCGGUUGGGGAUGGACUCGCGGCUUAUCAGCUUGUUGGUGGGGUAGUGGCUUACCAAGGCUUUGACGGGUAGCCGGCCUGAGAGGGUGACCGGCCACAUUGGGACUGAGAUACGGCCCAGACUCCUACGGGAGGCAGCAGUGGGGAAUAUUGCACAAUGGGCGGAAGCCUGAUGCAGCAACGCCGCGUGCGGGAUGACGGCCUUCGGGUUGUAAACCGCUUUCGCCUGUGACGAAGCGUGAGUGACGGUAAUGGGUAAAGAAGCACCGGCUAACUACGUG
rnacentral:rRNA from 1 species